UGAAAAAAAGCGUAGAGCGAGAAAGCGCAGCCAUGCUUUGCGGAGGCUCCGGCGUCGCUCUCAUUGGUAGUAUGAACCUGGUCGCCGAACGGAGUGUGUGCUUUGCUCGCUCGCCCGUCCGCCGCUGCACCGACACAAACCGGGAAUACAAGCCUCCGGGAUGAAAAGAGCGAAGUAACCAGAGUAAAAGCCGCGAAUCAAGUGAGAAACCCAGCAGGACGCGGAUACGUGCGAGCUCAUUGUGCUGGGAUCCACCAUAUGGCGCGGACCGCUUUAUGGUUGCAUUAUGGAAUAAUGGAGGACGUCUAUGCUGUGUGCCGCUUUGGACAUUACAUACGGAGACCCUUUUUCCAUUUGCUUGGGACCUGUAAUGAAUUUGUUCUGAAAACUGUCUUAUUUGGCUUGUAACCUAACCUCUUUAAAUAAAUGCACCGGUACGUAUGCGAACCUAUAAGUACAAAAAAAAAACUGGAGCAGGAAUGUCAUGCUGUUUGGACUGUCAUUCCUCAUUUUCGGUCUGCAGGCCAGGGCGGCUGCAGAAUAACAAGGUUACAGGCGCAUUAAGAGGUUUCUUCCAGUUGUGUUUCUCUUUUUUUUUUCUAUAACAGAGUGACUUCACUCUUAUGUUUCUGUGCAAACCCCUCUCAGAGCUGCGGGUUGCGUCUCUCCGUGUUCACAGCGGACCUUGAUUUAAUGUCUUACAAUUAAGGCACGCGGUGAAUGCCAAGAGAUGAUCCUCCUCUCUUCGAUAAGACAUCAUGAAACCAUUGAACUGUAUCGAGACAAGUGUAUAAACAUGUACUGCCUGUGUUUUUGACAAUAAAGUGAUCACACAUGAGGAAA